rnacentral:lncRNA from 1 species
CCCCGCCCUGCCCCUGCGUCGCGUCGCGCUGCAGCUCCCGCCCCAGCCGGGCCAAAGAUGGGGUGGCGGCUGCGGUUUUUCGCGCGACUUCCUUAGAUCUUGGGGCAAACGCGCAGAUAGUUCGGACGCGGGUCCGGGCUGAUUUCGCUUCGUUUUAUUGCAUUUUAUUACUAAUUAAAAAGCUUUCGUUCUCCGUCGCCCCAGCCCGCUCUUCUCCCGAACUCUCCCCUCGGCCCCCGCCUCCGCCCCGCGAUUGCUCCGGGGAUGCCGGCGCCCGCGCGCCAGAACCCGGCUCCUCCGAAGCCCCCUCCGAGCCCCGCCGCCGCCCUCGGGCCUCCCGGGCCCCCGCCUCCUCCCCUUCGCCCCCACCCAGCGGCGGCGGCUUCGGGCUUCUCGGCUCAAAAACAACAGCCGAGGCGCCGCCAGCUCCGCGCUCCGCCACUGCCCCGGCCGGCGGGCUGCACUCGGACCCGCCGUCCUCCGUAGGGCGCCCAGCGACGGAGCGCAGCGCACUCUGCGUUGGGGGCGGCUUGGGGGCCGCAGUCCGAACACCGGGCGUCCUCUGCCCCGCGUCACCCUGGCGUCCGGCACCUCUCCGCCUCGGGGGCGUAUCCGCGCGCUCUGGCCUCGGCGCCCCUGCUCKACUGCCGCCGUGGGCCCCCAGAACCAAAGGCCACUCCCGAAGCUUGCCUGGCUGACAAGAGAGGGCGAUGUUGGGGCCAGGCUUGAGGACUGCCCAGCUGGGCCCUUCUUCAGGUGCCUCUCUUCCUCUGCCUCUGAGGCCC